rnacentral:other from 1 species
UGGGCUGUCAACAAGCGCGGGCCUGGCGGAGCACGGCGGCGCGCGGAGACCGAGAGGCAACAGCGAGCGGCUGGGCUCCCGGCGGCGCGCCCCUCGGCAAGGCCGGGAGUCGCGCCAGUCGGAGCCCCCAGCCGAGCGCGGCCCUCCUGCCUCUCAGCGUACAUCAGUCCGGAGUGCAGCCAGCGGGUAUGACCGACCCACCAGGGGCGCCGCCGCCGGCGCUCUCAGGCCGCGGGUGAAGAAGAAAGUACGGUCCCGCUUGGUCCGGAGCGAGGAGGUGGCCCCGAGCAAGGAGGUGGCCCAGAGCAAGGAGGUGGCCCGGAGCAAGGAGGUGGCCCGGAGCGAGGAGGCCCAGAAAGAGGAGGCC